CACCCCCUCUCUCCAGCACCACCCCCUCCAGCCGUUCCCCCCUCCCCCUCUUUCACAUCUUCUUCUUACUGUCAAACAUACAAACAGAUACACACAUUUCCUUCUUCCUCUAUUUCCAUUACCAAAAACCUCUAUCGCCAUCUCCACAAACCCCUAAUUCUCUUUCCUUCCUCCAUGUCCUAACCCCUUCUCCACCCCCCAUCCCCCACACCUCCCGCACUCGCCGACCCACCCGCAAAAGGCCACAAAAGAAUGGGUUCUCUAAUACCAUUUCAAGACUUGAAUGCACAACCCAUUCAAGGAAGGCACAAUUCUUUUCAUAGUCAAAAGAGCACACACGUUGCUCAUAUACAAAAUCAUAUUAAGUAACCACUGUUGUCGAGCUCAUCACUGCCAAAAUUUGUAUAUAUAGGAAUGUUACCUGAACCCACAAAUUCAAAUCUAAAUUCAAGAAUUAUGCCA
rnacentral:lncRNA from 1 species